rnacentral:rRNA from 1 species
GAGCUUGCUCCGGAAGCCUAGCGGCGAACGGUCGCGUAACACGUAAGCAACCUGCCCCAAAGUUUGGGACAGCCCUCCGAAAGGGGGAUUAAUACCGGAUGUGGAUGUCGAUAUAGCAUAGUAUAGACAUCUAAAGCAUAUAUGCGCUUUGGGAUGGGCUUGCGGCCUAUACAGCUAGUUGGUGAGGUAACGGCUCACCAAGGCGACGACGGGUAGCUGGUCUGAGAGGAUGGUCAGCCGGACUGGGACUGAGACACGGCCCAGACUCCUACGGGGGGCAGCAAUAAGGAAUCUUGCGCAAUGGGCGCAAGCCUGACUUUUUUGACGUCACGUGAACGAUGAAGUCUUUCGGGAUGUAAAGUACUUUUCUGAGGGAAGAAGGAUGUGACGGUACCUCAGGAAUAAAGCCCCGGCUAACUACGUGCCAGCAGACGCGGUAAUACGUAGGGGGCGAGCGUUGUCCGAAUUUACUGGGCGUAAAGCGCGCGUAGGCGGACUCUUAAGUUGGUGGUGAAAUGCCGAGGCUCAACCUCGGAACUGACUUCAAAAAUGGGAGUCUAGAGGCUUGGAGAGGGAAGUGGAAUUCCUGGUGUAGCGGUGAAAUGCGUAGAUAUCAGGAGGAACACCGAUGGCGAAGGCAGCUUCCUGGACAUGUCCUGACGCUGAAGUGCG